rnacentral:rRNA from 1 species
UGGGGAAUUUUGCGCAAUGGGGGAAACCCUGACGCAGCAACGCCGCGUGAGUGAUGAAGGCUUUCGGGUCGUAAAGCUCUGUCAGAGGGGAAGAAAUGGAACUGGCUAUUAUCCAGUUUUCUCUACGGUAUCCUCAAAGGAAGCACCGGCUAACUCCGUGCUAGCAGCCGCGGUAAUACGGAGGGUGCAAGCGUUGUUCGGAUUUAUUGGGCGUAAAGCGCGUGUAGGCGGUUUCUUAAGUCUGAUGUGAAAGCCCUGGGCUCAACCCAGGAAGUGCAUUGGAUACUGGGAGACUUGAAUACGAGAGAGGGUAGUAGAAUUCCGAGUAUAGGAGUGAAAUCCGUAGAUAUUAGGAGGAACACCGGUGGCGAAGGCGGCUACCUGGACCGAUAUUGACGCUGAGGCGCGAAAGCGGGGGGAGCAAACAGG